GGAUUUCCCAGAAUUGCCCAGAUCCCUGGAUCCUUCAAGUGCUCGCUCUCGUGGGAGGCUUCUGCAUUUCUGUGAGCUUUUCAGCAGCAGGAUGUUCCUCAGAAUAUGGAGAUCACGGAGGUCCUUGAAGAUUCUAUUUUGGCAGAGAGCAAUAUGGCUAAGGUGGCCCUGAGGCACACUGAUGACUGUGCUUUCUGAGCGUGCUCUUCCCACCCUUACUGAAUGGAUCCGGAAGAGGGUAUUCCCCAGCUCUCAGCUCCAAGGCACCUGCUGGAGGCAGCACGGAUCCAGUCCAUUAAAAUGCCACACUCUUCCCUGUGCUAUCUCUGGAGCCGCUGUUGCUUUGUUGUAGCCCAUCUCAACUCGGUAGUGGCCAAGAGGUGAACCAAAUGGGUGAGGAAUUUUUCCCCACAUCCUUUAACGGUGGUGCCCGUCUCUGCAAACUCAUCCAGAAGCGUGCAUUUUGAAACUGCAAGUAUAAUGUAUGAAGCACAUGGAGUGUAAGCUUGGAGACGAAGACAGCUACUGAGUGGCAGAACUGGGAUCAGAACUCUUGUGCACUGGACACCACAUCCUGUUUGCUUAUCCUAGAACCAGAUUUUUGGAAGUGUUUUGGAUCAAUUCAGGACAUCAAAGCAGCCAGCAGCACCACUAAAGACAUUCUCGGAGAGGACUCCAGAGCUGCUCCAGACUGUGGCAAGGAUGUUGGAAUCAGUGUGUCUGAAGUGAAGGGAGUACUGUUGAGGGGAUUCACGGCAAUGUGUCCACUAUGCCAUCCGGACUGCCAUGGAGUCCUUCGGGGAUCUGUGACAGCUGAACGGGCGCUUUGCCUUUUGACCGGGAAGGAAGGGCUCGCAGGGCAGCCGGGUCUCCACAUGACGCUGACGGGAGCCUGCCACCCCCGCGUCAGCUGCGGCCUCCAACCCGCGUCCAGGUUCCCUCCCUCGUGACGCUCCAGGCUCGAAGACACCACCAUGAUGCGGCAAGGUUGUUUACCUUCGCUCCUUCACAAAAGAUAACCCAACAAAUUACAUUAAUUAUAAACCAAUAUGUUCCAUUCAAUUCCCUCAUGAGCCAAACCUGGGGACGAGCAUCUGCUCUUAUUUUCUGAGCUCGGUUUUGAGGACAAGAUUCACAACAAUGCUCGAUCCAUAAUUAACAGAGAAAUUAAAGAUGCAGCAAACCCAUUCACUGCUUUUUGAAGCAAGAUGCUUAAAAUAUCCAUGCCUACUCCUGGCAGGGGCUUUCUCUCCCAACUCUGAAAGAGUUUAUUGUUAUCGCUGGCAUGUUUCGGUUUGUUUAAAAUAUUUACAUCUAUGUCAGACUUAAAAUAAACAGGCAAAUAUUUUCCACAGAAAGAAUGAACAAUCAUUUUUUGUCCUGACAAUUUGUUUUAAAAUUUGGUUUCCUCCUUUCCCUAGGUGAUUGCCUCUCGUCCCUAAAAAUGAUGUUGAUUGCUAUUUAUUGAGGGUUGAGCACAUCGUUUCAUGUUGUGGGAAAGGGAAAUGAGC
rnacentral:lncRNA from 1 species